UCUCUCUCUCUCUCGUUCAUCUAACAUUCUGAAACCCUAGCCGCCGCUUUACUCAUUCUCUCUCGCUCUCAUCAGUCGUGGGGGCCUUCUCCAAUCUAAAGGUCGUCCCUCUCUCCAUCUUCUAGCAUUCUGUCGGUAGCAUACUCGAUGGGGACCAGCCUCAUCAUCAGUCCCUCUCUCGCUCUCAUCAGUCAUGGGGACCGGCCUGCCUGCUAUUGCCAAUGACACGGCUGGGCAGAAUACUCGAUGAAAGGUUACCCACAAGUAGAUACCAAGUUUUAUAAGUAUUUGCAGCGGGUCCCAAAGCAGUGGAUGCCGGUGGCUAUCAGGGAGAUCUAGUAGAUCGGUCUGUCUAGGUUUUCUUCAUCCGUGGGGCUGAGCCAUUUUUGCCAGUGGCAGUCCAUUUCCUCCUGUUGACAGAGGUGGAUUUGUGAGUGAAUUGCUUGCUAGUGGACCUGAAGGACCCAUUCCAUCAUCUAUGUUUCCUCUUUAAGUUUUCUUCAUUUUCAUGGGUCUUGCAGUAAAAUAGGACCAUUAGAUAUGUAAUUUUCA